AAUGCGGUGCCCGGCAGCGAUUCAAUAACUGAUCGGGUGGCGGCAUUGCCUGAAAAUGAGGU
rnacentral:ncRNA from 1 species